rnacentral:tRNA from 1 species
GGCAGAGUUGCCUAGUGGAUAGAGCACUUGUCUGUGAAUAAGAAGAAUCUGGGUUCUAAUCCCAGCUCUGAUA